rnacentral:rRNA from 1 species
GACGAACGCUGGCGGCGUGCUUAACACAUGCAAGUCGAACGGAAAGGCCCUGCUUUUGUGGGGUGCUUGAGUGGCGAACGGGUGAGUAACACGUGAGUAACCUGCCCUUGACUUUGGGAUAACUUCAGGAAACUGGGGCUAAUACCGGAUAGGAGCUCCUGCUGCAUGGUGGUGGUUGGAAAGUUUCGGCGGUUGGGGAUGGACUCGCGGCUUAUCAGCUUGUUGGUGGGGUAGUGGCUUACCAAGGCUUUGACGGGUAGCCGGCCUGAGAGGGUGACCGGCCACAUUGGGACUGAGAUACGGCCCAGACUCCUACGGGAGGCAGCAGUGGGGAAUAUUGCAAGAUGGGCGGAAGCCUGAUGCAGCAACGCCGCGUGCGGGAUGACGGCCUUCGGGUUGUAAACCGCUUUCGCCUGUGACGAAGCGUGAGUGACGGUAAUGGGUAAAGAAGCACCGGCUAACUACGUG